rnacentral:antisense_RNA from 1 species
UUAUAGGGCAGCAUGGGGGAGGCCUUAGGGCCUGCCGGUUUCUUUGGGCCGGUCUUCCAACCUUCAUGUUGCCCUUU